GGGAAGCAAUGCAAGCAACAAGCAAAUCUUGCAACAUUCUAGGCAAACCAGGUAUAACAUCCUGUGCCUCGACUUCCCUUCAUGUUACAUUAUUAACUGGAGUGUAAGGUAUACGUGAACAGCAGUAAGAACGGUGUAUGGAAGGUAAUGACAAAAUACACAACAAAUACUAAAAGCAAAUUGUGGGAAACUUGCCUCUCGUCCUCUUCUUCACCAAAAGAUAAUAGACUAGAUAACUGAAGUCUCACCCCAACAUCCCUGACACAGAUUUGUCUCUGCACUCAGAUCCCUUUGAGGUACAGGGUACCGUGACAACACAAGGUGCGUGGUGAGUGGAGAAAAUGAGCUCUGGUGUAAGAGCACCCUGAAGCUGGGCCCGGACGUAAAGUGCCCGGCCCCCUACGCCCUGGACUGAAGAGUAGCAGCACUCGGUGCUCAACUACUUGACAAAGUACUGUCCGCGGUGCACCCGGGGCACCUGCUCCUGGAAAUGAGGUUCUACGGAAGCACAGCCUUACCUGUUCGAUUACACCACGUGAGGGAGCCACAAAUGUGAAGACCCUCCCAUGAAUUAUGCCUCUGAGACAUUCAGAUGAAUGUCUGACGUGGAACGGCUUCACCAAUGAGCGUGGUUUCACAGGGCAGCCAAUCUGCCA